CUCCCGGAGGGCCAGCGGCGGGGGGACGGUCCUGAUCGGGCCGGGGGCGUUGAGCGUGUCGGUGAUCCUGCCGAUCGCCUCGGUGCCGGGGGGC
rnacentral:tRNA from 1 species